GAUGAACGCUGGCGGCGUGCCUAAUACAUGCAAGUCGAGCGAUGCGGGGGGAGGGGAGUAACACGUGGAUAAACUCCGAUACGACUGGGAUAAAGUCGGGAAACCCGAGCUAAAGCUGAUAUUUAGAGAUGGAUUCGCGCUGCAUUAGCUAGUUGGUAAGGUAACGGCUGACCAAGGCAACGAUGCAUAGCCGACCUGAGAGGGUGAUCGGCCACACUGGGACUGAGACACGGUCCAGACUCCUACGGGAGGCAGCAGUAGGGAAUCUUCCGCAAUGGACGAAAGCCUGACAGAGCAACGCCGCGUGAGUGAAGAAGGUCUUCGGAUCGUAAAACUCUGUUAUUAGGGAAGCGGUACCUAACCAGAAAGCCACGGCUAACUACGUGCCAGCAGCCGCGGUAAUAC
rnacentral:rRNA from 1 species